rnacentral:piRNA from 1 species
UGUUGGUCAGACAAAGCUUCAUAGGGAAGGU